UUCAACUAGCAGGCUCCAAAUGAAGUCCAAAAAUCCUAGGGCUUCUAAUAUAAAACCAACCGGAAAACCUCGCCUUCUCCUUAAAUGUAUGCCUGCUCCUCCUUCUCCUUCUCCUCUAUCUUUUGUGUGUCUUCCGGCAGCCUAAAUCGAUUUUCUGAACGGCUCCUUUUUUUUUACCGAUCUUAGCCAAGUCCGAGGGUUUGACGGUUGCACUCUUCUUCGAUUCGCUUAGUAGGGGGAGUUUGGGUGUUUUAGUAUGUUGUUUUGAUCUUGUUUGGGGGCCUUGUCUGAAGGUUGACUCAGGUGUGGUUGGUCCCUAAAGUGAUUAUCUGUUUGAUGUUGGGUCUUUCUGGCUUUUGGAUGAUAGCCUUUUCGGAUUUGAUGUCCUUAUGUGCUUGUUCGAAUCUGGGUACCUAUUGCUUUUUUAUUCAUGCUUAGAUUUGAAAUUUUUUCUGUGAUUGUACUGAUUUAAUUGAUGUUCAUUAUGUUUUCUUAUGUUUAAUUUAAUUUGGUUUGUUCAUGGGUGUUUGUUUCUGUCGAAUCUGAUUUUCCGGUGAGUUUAUCUUUUCGGAGGAUCUAUGUUAU
rnacentral:lncRNA from 1 species